CUCAGCAGCAGAUCAACAAUCUGGUUCAAAAGUCCUCCACCUUAAUGAUGGAGAUUAUCAGAGGUUCUACAGAAAAGCAGAGACAAUUGCUUAGCAAGCUUUAUCUCCUGCAGAAACAGUUUACAGAGAAAUGCGAAGAGCUUCAGACACUCAUCGCAGAGGAAGUGCGUCUGGCAGGAGGUGCUGUGGAAAACAUCCAGAAACAUCCAAAUCCUGGCCAUAUGCUCAAGGAGACCCCAUGAGAGACCCUGUUCAGACAGCAUAUUUUCUGUACAAUGCUAUAUCGUGGUUUAAAUUAAUGAGUGAAAAGCUAAAUAUUGAUGUACAGAGAUGGA
rnacentral:lncRNA from 1 species